AUGUUUGUUAACUUAGAGAUAAAGAUAAAUCAAUUUUUGAAGAAGAUGCCUUUAAAUUAUUUGAAACAAUGGUUUCCUUUCAUAGAAAAUAAGUUACCUUGAUUUAAUAAGCUUAAUUUAAAGCUUAUUAUUAUUAUAGGUGUACGUUCCAUGUAUUCUUGUUGUGGUUAUGUCAUGGGUCUCAUUUUGGAUACAUCGAGAAGCUACCAGCGACAGGGUCGGUCUUUGUGUUACAGCAGUAUUAACUCUUUCAACUAUUAGUUUAGACUCCCGGACGGAUUUACCAAAAGUAAAAUAUGCCACUGCCUUGGAUUGGUUUUUAUUAAUGAGCUUUCUAUACUGCAUUGCUACGCUAUUAGAAUUUGCUGGGGUACACUAUUUCACUAAAGUGGCUAACAGUGAAAUUCCACAAUGGGAGCAUAUUACUGCUUUAACUGAUAAUGGAUCUGAAAAAUUCAAACAUUAUAUUUAUGGUCCUGUGCUCAGGGAAUCUUCUUCAUGCUCUUUUAACAUGGAUUAUAUAGCCCAAAAACGACCCCCCGUUAUGUCGCGCAAAAAGCAAAUGUGGCUUUGCUUAAAAAACGAUGAUACUUUUCGUAAACUAAGAGCACGCCAUGCUGCUACUGAAAAUAGUCAAUGUCAAACUGCUAGAUAUGUCAAUAGUGUAUCUCUUAUUGAUCGUACUGCACGAAUAGCUUUUCCAACGUCUUUUGCAAUAUUUAACUUUUUAUACUGGCUUUCCUAUGGAAUGUACAAAAAAGAAUUUUCGUGGUCGACAAUA